GGAGGGAUCAUUCACAUGCAUCCAACCUCUAUCAACCAACUGUGAACUGUUUUGCCGUGUGAAUCAAACGAGUAGAGAUGUUAGUGUAUAUGUAUAUAUGCAUAUAUAUAUAUAUAGGUAUAUGGGAUCUGAAUGGAGUCAGCUUGCUGACUGAGACCAUCUAACUAGGGGAGCGAAUUUUCUUUUAUUCGCUCCACACACACACUCUCUCUCUCUCUCUUUGCUAAGCCGGCCCUAUCUCUAUAGACUAUCAAUGAUUGUUGAUCUCCAUCUCAAUCACUUUCAUUCUCUGAUUAGUCUUAGGGAGCCCCCCACAACAACAAACCACCUCCGCAUUCUUUUGAUUUGGCACUCGCGUGUGUCAGAUUGUUCGAAUGUCGAAUAUUCGAUAACACCAAUGAUAGCAUCUUCUUUAGUUCCUCGGAACGGAUGCUUGACUCUGUCUAUCAUUUUCAUGAUAGUCUAACAGUAGUCAUUCUUAACAUAGAAAACAACUCUAUGCCCUGGAUAUCUUGGUUCUCGCACCGAUGAAGAACGCAGCGAAAUGCGAUAUGUCAUGCGAAUUGCAGAAUUCAGUGAAUCAUCGAAUUUUUGAACGCAAAUUGCGGUCCUGGGAUAGCCCCAGGACCACGCUUCCGGGAGUAUCGGUUCCUACUAUCAGGCAUCUGAGCUUCGCUCCGAGUUGGCCUAAGAGUGAGAGUCUCGUCUACACUAUCAUUUUGGUUAGACUAGUCUCUUGAAAAUCAGUGAAGUUCCCCACCUCUCUCUUCUGCUUAUGAACAAUGAGCGCGCGAGAGGUUGACUGUGUGGAGUCUCGAAGAGUUGUGUGUUUCGGCACAAUUCUGCCCCUAUCCUGAACCUGAUCAGUGUGUUUCUCUCCUUUCUCUGGGAGGCCGCCUUGUGUCUUGGAUUCUGGCUUCGAGCGACGUCGAUGAUGCUAUCGUUGAUCUUCGGAUUGAUGUGCGCUUUCAGCCCGUCAGGAGCGGCCGGUUUCUGCAUACAUAGCCACAGGCCACCUCUAUACCAAACAGAGAGAGGCGGAACAGUGCUAACGAGGAUGAGAUGAUAGUGUGUGGAGUCAAAGAGCUCUCAUAGCGUUGGUUGGAAUGGACCCUCGAUUGUGUGUGAGUACUUUUCACAUAUACUACUAGUAUUUGUGUGUGAGUCUCUCUCGAUCGAACCGUGCACCGAGCGCCUCUAUCCCUUAGGAGAUUCUUCUAAGUGUGUGUAUGUGUGUGGAUCGUUGUUGGUCUGAUGUGUGUGAGUGAGUGAGUGAGCGAGUGAGUGAGUGAUCCUUUGUGCUCUCUCCUCUUCUCUUCUCUCCUCUCCCAUCUAACAUGUAAUGAUCUCCCGUGAAGCGAGGCUACCCCCUGAAUUUAAGCAUAUUACUAAGGGGAGGACAAGACAAUAACCAUGAUGCUCUCAGUAACGGCGAGUGAAGCGAGCAAAGCUCAAGCGUAGAAUCGGCCUGUCGUCGGAUGGUGCCGAGUUGUCGAGUGUCGACGCGACGUCAGCGUGGCCGAGUGCAGUAAGUCCCUUGAAACAGGGCAUCCAAGAGGGUGAGAAUCCCGUCUUCCCGCUGCUCGUUGUUACGUGUACGACCCGUGUUCUUCGAGUCGAGUUGUUUGGGAUUGCAGCUCUAAGUCGGUGGUAAGUUUCAUCGAAAGCUAAAUAAUGGCGAGAGACCGAUAGCGAACAAGUACCGUGAGGGAAAGAUGAAAAGAACUUUGAAAAGAGAGUGAAAGAGUACUUGAAAGGGCACAGAGGGAAGCGAGCCACACCAGUCGAGAGGGGAGGAAGCCUUUGGAGGGCAAGUCCUUUGUUUAGGUUCGAUGUGGUCAAACCAUUGAGCUUAACACACAUCGAUUUGCCACUGAAGUUCGUUCUUCCCUUGAGGUCAGCUUGCUUUGUUCCCGCUUUGGACAGGAGACAGAAAGGUGAGGUGAGCUUUCGGGUUCACUUGUUAUAGUCUGUCUCUCUACAUGGCGGAGGCGAAGGAGGCGUGGUGAAUUGUGCCAUUAGGCAGGAUUUCGAUCCUAUCAAUUCACUGAAGCUGACGAUAGGGUGUGGCUCGACCCGUCUUGAAACACGGACCAAGGAGUCUAACAUCUAUGCGAGUAGGUGGGUGUCAAACCCAUGUGCGGAAUGAAAGUGACAGGUAGGAAUGUGUGUUUAUCACAGGCACUAUCGACCGAUCCUCACUUGUGAAAGAUUUGAGUCCGAGCAUAGCUGUUGGGACCCGAAAGAUGGUGAUCUAUGCCUGAACAGGGUGAAGCCAGGGGAAACUCUGGUGGAGGCUCGUAGUGGUACUGACGUGCAAAUCGUUCGUCUGAUUUGGGUAUAGGGGCGAAAGACUAAUCGAACUAUCUAGUAGCUGGUUCCCUC
rnacentral:misc_RNA from 1 species